CAUAAACGAAGAAACGAAGCCGAAGAAGAGGGCUCUUCUUUCGUGGAGAAGAAUAAUACUAAUCUUAUCCUUAUUCUUAUACCAAGAUGGAUCGGUACCAGAAAGUGGAGAAGCCAAGGGUUGAGACACCUAUUGAUGCGAAUGAGAUUCGGAUUACUAGUCAGGGAAGGAUGCGAAGCUAUAUCACUUAUGCUAUGACCUUGCUUCAGGAGAAAGAAUCAGAGGAGAUCGUGUUCAAGGCAAUGGGCAGGGCAAUCAACAAGACUGUGACAAUUGUGGAAUUGAUCAAGAGGAGAAUUGUUGGUCUUCACCAAGUAACGUCUAUUACAUCCACUGAUAUAACUGAUACAUGGGAACCCCUUGAAGAAGGUCUCCUACCUCUCGAGACCACCAGGCAUGUAUCCAUGAUUACAAUUACCCUCGCCAAAAAGGAGCUGGAUAAGAAUGCUGUGGGGUACCAACCACCAUUGCCAGCAGACCAGGUGAAAGUGUCAACAGAUUUUGACUAUGAUGGAGAAGGAUCUCCUAGUGGAGGACGAAGAGGCCGCGGUGGUCGAGGAAGGGGAAGGUCCAGAGGCUUUCCAGGAAAUGGAUUUAUGCCGGCUGAGUAUGAUGAUGGUGGGUAUGAUCGCAAUCGGAGCUAUGGUAGGGGUAGGGGUCGAGGCAGAGGUCGUAGCUCCCGUGGCCGCGGAAGGGGAGGGUACAAUGGUCCACAGGAUGUCCAGCAAGAUGGU
rnacentral:misc_RNA from 1 species